rnacentral:lncRNA from 1 species
AUCCAAAGUCACUCUGCAGGGCAUAGUCCUUUACAUAUAGAAGGCGCUUGAUGAAUAUGGGUUGAAUUGAAAUGCAAGGGAGCUAUCACUAAACACAGCAUUGAAAUGUUGAAGGAUACAUUGAUAUUUCCUUACUCUCUCCAUUACAGGUCAUUCUCCUCAGUUUGGGAGAAAGAAUUGACAUUUACCAGAUGAUUUGCAACUGGGUAGGAAAAAUAAAUAGGAAUAGGAAACAUCACUAUCUCAGGGACAAGACUUGGAUAAUGUGCAUACACAGAAAAGGAGAUGGAGGGUAUUCCUGUAAAGGCUGCUGUUAUAAUGAUAGUACCAAAACUGAAGAACAUGCUAAUUGAUUUCUUCUAAUAACAUUGUGAAAAUCAUGGUCUCCGAGAAUAGGAUACCUUCCUUCUAGCCACAUCAUCACUGAAGCUGAAGCACUUUUCUUUUUCCUGUUCAGCGUUGAACACUUUGAAUAUAUUAUGGCAAUGAUGAUUUGUUUGUGCCAUCGUGUGUGUGUGUAUGUGUAUUUAUAUGCCAAUAAAACGUUUCCAUUAACAAAACUCAUUGAAAACAAAUUCUAUGUCUACUUGUGAUUUAUCUUUCCCGAGACCUCAAAUAUCUAGAAAUAUUAUUUGC